CAGCAGCAGCAGCAGCAGCAUCAUAGGCAUUAUACAUCCAACCCGAAAACAUACUACGAAAAGAGCUGUGAUGCAAACGAGAUUGUGUUUGGGGCUGUUCAAGAACAGGCUGGUCGGCGUGAAGCUGUGGUUAUAAAGGCUGUUGACUAUGGAGAUCCUAGGUACAGUCACCAUAAUAUUCGACCUCGAUUCAACUAUGUUGGUUAUUCUCAUGGGUAUUAAUCAUCUAUUAUAUAUAUUACUAGAGGGGAAAACAAAAGAAUAUUUUCAACUUCCGUGUGCCUUAAGAUGAGUAUGGAAAAAUAUGUCUUUUACUGUUUUUCUAUAUUUUUAUUUGUUUAUUAAUAUUUUUUAAUCUCUUCCUUUUUACUUUCAUUUUUUGGUGGAAAUGUUAGUACUGUUUUAAAAAGUUUGCUUGUAGCGAUCAAAUAUGUAACAUAUCUUAUACAAUAUGAAGAGAAUCAAAUGGCUAGCUGUUGAUGUUAUAUAGCUUCUAUGGAUGCUUUUUGUUCUUAAACUGAGAAUUAGAGCAUGGGAGUUCAAGUUCAGCAACAACUCAGAUAAAAGCAAAUCCACUUUCUUAAAAUACAAAUUGUGAACAAGGAAUUGCACAUCUCCUUCAACUUAUUCAAGGUGAGAACAAAAAUCAAAAUGCUGAUUUCUGUCAAGGAAGUGACUCGCCUCAGCUGUGAGAUGUGACCUUUGUGGUGUUUGUGCAUAUUGAACUAUGUUUGAUGAAACUAGAUAAGCAAAAAUUUGUAGUCUUGAAUUGGGAUGAUCUUUGAUGGAAUGCAGAACUGAAAGAUGAUGAUG
rnacentral:misc_RNA from 1 species